GACGAACCGAGCGAACGUUGUUCGGAAUCACUGGGCUUAAAGGGCGCGUAGGCGGGUGCUCAAGUCCGGGGUGAAAUCCCACAGCUCAACUGUGGAACUGCCUCGGAUACUGGGCGUCUCGAGUGUGGUAGGGGUAUGCGGAACUAUCGGUGGAGCGGUGAAAUGCGUUGAUAUCGAUAGGAACUCCGGUGGCGAAGGCGGCAUACUGGACCACCACUGACGCUGAUGCGCGAAAGCCAGGGGAGCAAACGGG
rnacentral:rRNA from 1 species